UACGUAGGGGGCAAGCGUUGUCCGGAAUCAUUGGGCGUAAAGCGCGUGUAGGCGGUUCGGUAAGACCGCUGUGAAAGUCGGGGGCUCAACCCUCGGAUGCCGGUGGAUACUGUCGGACUAGAGUGCGGAAGAGGCGAGUGGAAUUCCUGGUGUAGCGGUGAAAUGCGCAGAUAUCAGGAGGAACACCGAUUGCGAAGGCAGCUCGCUGGGACGUUACUGACGCUGAGACGCGAAAGCGUGGGGAGCAAACAGG
rnacentral:rRNA from 1 species